GACGAACGCUGGCGGCGUGCUUAACACAUGCAAGUCGAGCGGUAAGGCCCUUUCGGGGGUACACGAGCGGCGAACGGGUGAGUAACACGUGGGUGACCUGCCCUCAGCUCUGGGAUAAGCCUGGGAAACCGGGUCUAAUACUGGAUAUGACUCCAUGACGCAUGUUGGUGGGGUGGAAGGCCUUGUGCGGCUGGAGGAUGGGCCCGCGGCCUAUCAGCUUUGUUGGGUGGGGUGANGGCCUACCAAGGCGACGACGGGUAGCCGGCCUGAGAGGGCGACCGGCCACACUGGGACUGAGAC
rnacentral:rRNA from 1 species